rnacentral:rRNA from 1 species
GUGUCAGCCGCCGCGGUAAGACGAGGGAUCCUAGCGUUGUUCGGAAUCAUUGGGCGUAAAGCGGGUGCAGGUGGCUUUGUAAGUCAGGUGUGAAAGCCCAGGGCUCAACCCUGGAAGUGCACUUGAUACUGCGAAGCUUGAGUGUAGGAGAGGUUACUAGAAUUCUUGGUGUAGUGGUGAAAUACGUAGAUAUCAAGAGGAAUACCGGUGGCGAAGGCGGGUAACUGGCCUAACACUGACACUCAGACCCGAAAGCGUGGGGAUCAAACAGGAUUAGAUACCCUGGUAGUCCACGCCAUAAACGAUGGAUACUUGUUGUUGGAGGUAUUGACCCCUUCAGUGACGAAGCUAACGCGUUAAGUAUCCCGCCUGGGGAGUACGGUCGCAAGAUUAAA